AGUUAUGAAGUAGUGGGUCAAGGGGAAGGAGCCCCUCCCUUGUAUGUAAUAGCUCAUUUUUACUGUAGAUGGAUAACAAAUUUUUAUAGGGGUUGUGCUAUUCUACAAUUAAUUAUAGUUCAGGUUUGGUUUCAUCAUUUGUGUUGUGUUUUAUGUCAAAUUAAUUCCUUCUUUAUUUACAGGUUACUGGGACAAACAGCUUGACUGAUUUGUUGACCAAGACUGUUUGUAGUUUGGGCUUUAUUCAACCAUAAACAAAGGAUGGCUGAACAACUAUGUCCCCUGGAUCUUUCAACUAAACCUCUUUCAGGUUUAGCCAUGAAGCUGCCUAAAAGUGCACCUUAUAACAUGCCGAAGACUGUUAUAAAGGUAUCAAUGAAGUCAAGAUCCCAUUCCUGCGAGCCACACAGUGACAAAAUAAAUGACCACAGGACAUAUCUCCCAAGCCAGCAUGUGGAGGUGGAGGUAAAUGUUGAAGAGCUAGCUCCACCUGAGGCCUCUGCUGCUACCCUUGAAACAGUCUAUCAACCUGAAGAAACUUUUCUCCCAAUUGAAGACCCGAAGCCCCAGGAGAUUAUUCUAAAUGUUGAGAACUCGGCAGAGGUCUUGCCUUGUGAUGGAUUAGUAGAUGUACUUUCCCUAACAGUAAAAAAGCAGAGGAAAAAUCUAAUUGCCCAGCAUGCAAAAAAAAACUAGUUCACCUGCCUCGCCACCUAGUGAGAGUACAUGGAUGGUCCACAGAUAGAGCUAAAAAAAUAUCAUGCAUCAUGGGAACAAGAAAAUACAGAGGGCUCUUUACAAGAAAAGUUAGGAAAACGUGUACAGUCAAGAACUGCUAUGCACAGGUUACUCGAUUGGGUCAGCACAUGAAGAGGGUGCAUGGGAUAUGCCUCCAACCUGAAGCAUUCUAUUCCCAAGCCUCAUCUGAGAACACCCCACUAGAAAAUACCGAAUUUGAGUUACAAGAUAAAGUAAAGCAAAGAUUGAGUUCUGGUACAGGCAGUACAGAUGAAGAAGAGAUAGACUACACAGACAAUAGUGAUGUUGUUAGUACAUAUUGGAAAGAAAUACUCCUUAACUAUGAAAUUUUUUUGAAAGGUCCUGCUGGAGGGUCACUAGAAAUGAAAACAAUAUCAUAUAACAUAGGCAGGUUGAAAAUAGUGAUAGCAGAUCUAGAGGCAAAUAAUGUACAAGAACUGCUGGUGGAAGAAAAACUUUGGAAGUACUUUGGUAAGAAAAAAACUGAAAAAGACUGGAAAUCACAAACAAUAAUAACAUACCUCGCUAGUCUGAAAAAGUUCUUUGCAUACGUUUCAAAGAAGAGAAAGGAAACCCCUUUCUCUGAAUCUGAGGUCACAGAUGCAGAACACCUAUGCAACAUUAUGCCUGGGUGGUCCCGUAGCUAUUACAAAAUGUGUGGAGAGGAAAAAGGUGUAAGAGAAAAGAACAAGAGCAGUUGUUGUUAAAUAGUGAUAAAUUAGAUAAAUUCUAUUCAUCAGAAGAAUAUAAAGGAGCAGUGAAAAUAAUAGAACAACUUGAUGACAAAUAUGUACCAAAAAGAAAUGACAUUUCAUUGGUAAGGAAUAUUUUGAUAUUUAUGGGACU